rnacentral:rRNA from 1 species
AGUGGCGUACGGGUGCGUAACGCGUAUGCACCUACCUUCAUCAGGGGGAUAGCCCGAAGAAAUUCGGAUUAACACCGCAUAAAAUAGCAUUAUCAAAUAUUUAUAGGAUGGAGAUGGGCAUGCGUGUCAUUAGCUAGUUGGUAAGGUAACGGCUUACCAAGGCGACGAUGACUAGGGGAUCUGAGAGGAUGACCCCCCACACUGGUACUGAGACACGGACCAGACUCCUACGGGAGGCAGCAGUAAGGAAUAUUGGUCAAUGGAGGCAACUCUGAACCAGCCAUGCCGCGUGCAGGAAGACUGCCUAUGGGUUGUAAACUGCUUUUAUACGGGAAUAAACCUUGGUUCGUGAACCAAGCUGAAUGUACCGUAAGAAUAAGGAUCGGCUAACUCCGUGCCAGCAGCCGCGGUAAUACGGAGGAUCCAAGCGUUAUCCGGAUUUAUUGGGUUUAAAGGGAGCGUAGGCGGCCUAUUAAGUCAGGGGUGAAAGACGGCAGCUUAACUGUCGCAGUGCCUUUGAUACUGAUAGGCUUGAAUGUAGUUGAGGUGGGCGGAAUGUGACAAGUAGCGGUGAAAUGCAUAGAUAUGUCACAGAACACCGAUUGCGAAGGCAGCUCACUAAGCUAUGAUUGACGCUGAGCUCGAAGCGUGGGGAUCAAACAGAAUUAGAUACCCUGGUAGGCCACGG